CAUUAUAAUUAUCUGCUGUAAGAACUGGACUUGCUAGAUCACCAACCCUAUCACAGACCAAUCUCUCAUUCAAUCUUCAAGAGAACCUUGACUAACUGUUUGGUGGUUUCAAGUGUUUGAAACUAUUUAAAUUUGCAUGACAAACCUUAAGAAAAGUCAUGUUGAAGAAAAAGGACUGACUGAUAGUCAACAAGGUACGCUACCUUGUUUGGUAACCUGUUGGCUGCUUGCCUGCUUCCCUUGAAUCUCCUUUUUUACUUCCUUAAGCUUGAUUUAAGGGUAACUCCUUCGCUACUUAUCAUGGACUUCAUCCAUUGGUGAUGCUGUAAUUCAGGAGAAUGCUGUCAUUUAAGAGUCAAGACUGAUAAAUUGUGUAGUUGUUAGAUGAAACAAGUGCGUAAUUGGGCUCCCUCGCUAACCAUUGGCCGUGUAAUCUCCCUGGCUGCAGUCAAUUAAGGCAGUCUCCUCCUGUCUUGAUUGACUGUAUGUGCGAGUUUCAAAAGCAGUUUAUCACCCAAAUGAGAUAAAAGGAGUAAUAUCAGUUUGUUUUAUUUGGGUAUAAAUUGUUUUAAAAUUAGCACAAAAACACAUUUGUUUUGAACCGGACGCUUUGUUUAUUGAAAUAACAGUUAUGGUUAAAAAUAUAAUCUG